UACAUAUGGGGCGAGCGUUAUCCGGAUUUAUUGGGUGUAAAGGGUGCGUAGGCGGGAAAAUAAGUCAGUAUGUGAAAUCCCUCGGCUCAACUGAGGAACUGCAACUGAAACUAUUUUUCUUGAGUGUUGAAGGGGAAAGUGGAAUUCCUAGUGUAGCGGUGAAAUGCGUAGAGAUUAGGAGGAACACCAGUGGCGAAGGCGACUUUCUGGGCAACAACUGACGCUGAGGCACGAAAGUGUGGGGAGCAAA
rnacentral:rRNA from 1 species